CCUACGGGUGGCAGCAGUAGGGGAUAUUGCACAAUGGAGGAAACUCUGAUGCAGCGACGCCGCGUGAGGGAUGACGGUCUUCGGAUUGUAAACUUCUGUCUUUGGGGAAGAAUAUGACGGUAUCUAACGAAUAAGCACCGGCUAACUCCGUGCCAGCAGCCGCGGUAAUACGGAGGGGGCAAGCGUUAAUCGGAAUUACUGGGGGUAAAGGGGGCGUAGGCGGGGUAAUAAGUCAGAUGGUAAAUCUUCCAGCUUAAAUAGGUAGCUGCGUUUGAAACUGUUAGUCUGGAGUGUAGGAGAGGCAGGUGGAAUUCUUGGUGUAGGGGUGAAAUGCGUAGAGAUCAGGAGGAAUACUCGUGGCGAAGGCGACCUGCUGG
rnacentral:rRNA from 1 species